CAGCCGCCGCGGGAAUACGUAGGUGACAAGCGUUGUCCGGAAUUAUUGGGCGUAAAGGGCUCGCAGGCGGUUUCUUAAGUCUGAUGUGAAAGCCCCCGGCUCAACCGGGGAGGGUCAUUGGAAACUGGGAAACUUGAGUGCAGAAGAGGAGAGUGGAAUUCCACGUGUAGCGGUGAAAUGCGUAGAGAUGUGGAGGAACACCAGUGGCGAAGGCGACUCUCUGGUCUGUAACUGACGCUGAGGAGCGAAAGCGUGGGGAGCGAACAGGAUUAGAUACCCCAGUAGUCCCUGUCUCUUAUAC
rnacentral:rRNA from 1 species